UACGUAGGUGGCAAGCGUUAUCCGGAUUUAUUGGGUUUAAAGGGUGCGUAGGCGGUUAUAUAAGUUAGUGCUGAAAUAUCCCGGCUUAACCGGGAGGGUGGCAUUGAUACUGUAUGACUUGAGUAGAGUUGAGGUUGGCGGAAUUGACGGUGUAGCGGUGAAAUGCUUAGAUAUCGUCAAGAACACCGAUAGUGAAGACAGCUAACUAAGCUCUAACUGACGCUGAGGCACGAAAGUGUGGGGAUCAAACAGG
rnacentral:rRNA from 1 species